GCUGGGCAUGGUGGUGCAUGCCUGUAAUCCCAGCUACUUGGGAGGCUGAGGCAGGAGAAUCGCUUGAACCCAGGAGGCAGAGGUUACAGUGAGCCGAGACCGCGCCACUGCACUCCAGCCUGGGCAACAGAGUGAGACUCCGUCUCAA
ensembl:misc_RNA Metazoa_SRP Metazoan signal recognition particle RNA